rnacentral:misc_RNA from 1 species
AUGGUCAACAAGUAUCCUACCAGCAAAAAGGAGAUACAGAGAGGCAGGGAAUAUUUGAAAAGUUAUUGAUUCAUGGUUAUCAAUUCAUUCAUAAUGUUGAAUUAAAUAUUACAACAAAUUUGGAGAAACCCUAAACCAUAAAUGGAAAUGAACCCAAAAAAUAAUAAUAAACUACAAAUCUGAGAAAAAUUGAACUGAAAAAAUUUUGGAGAAAUUCACACUAAGAAACCACACAUGCGCAUGAGGCCUUGAACAAUGCUUCAGAAACCUCAUUUGGCAUGUGCUAGGCUUUGGAAAUCUUGAUCUUGAAUUCAAACAUUUGGGGAAUCAUGGAGUCUGCACAUUUGAGUCCUUAGAUUUGUUCUCUUCAGAAGAUGGUCGGUUUUCUGAGUCAGAUUGUCUUAUUUCUUCGAUCAUUCGAACAACUUCAUCCAUGUUUGGUCGCAUGUCCGGCACCUUUGCUACACAGGCCAUCCCAAUUUGCAACAUCUGAACCAUUUCUUCUUCAAUAUUUUGGUAUCUCAUUAGCUCAACAUCGAAAACCUCAGCUGUCCAUUCCUCCCUCACAACUGACUGAACCCAUCGAGGCAGAUCAACCAUGUCGUCUCGUGCUGGUGAUUGAAGUGGAGCUUUUCCUGUCAGCAUCUCUAGCAGGAGGACACCAAAGCUAUAGACAUCUGACUUAUGAGUGUGUUUACGGGUUUCAAUCACUUCAGGAGCACGAUAGCCUGCACUCCGAGAUGGAGUUGCAGGAAUAUUCAUUAGAGGUGUCAGGCCAAAAUCAGAGAUACAACCAUUGUGAUCUUGGCUGAGAAGGACAUUUGAGGACUUGAUGUUCCCAUGAGUGAAUUUUGGACCUCCAGCAGAAUGCAGGUGGGCAAUCCCCCGUGCAGUUCCAAGAACAAUCUUCACUCUACUGUCCCAAUCUAGUGGAGUUCUGCCAGCUUGCCUAUUUCCAUGCAAAAGUGUAGAUAAGCUGCCACCAGGGAAAUAGUCAUACACUAGAAGCUUCUCAUCCUUAGAGUAAUAAUAAGCACGGAGGGGUACAACAUUUGGGUGCUGCCCAACCCUUCCCACUGUCUCCAUCUGCUGUUCAAAGUCCCUCUUUCCAACCACUACUUCCUUCAACCUUUUCACCACCACAGUUGUUGAUUCUUCCAAGACAGCUUUAUAAGCAGUGCCAUAACUACCCUUUCCCAGCACUUCAGCAGAAGCCCUUAACAAAUCCUCAAGAUCAAAAUUGUAAGAGCAGCCUUCAAAGAACACCAGCUUGUUUUUCUCAGGUUCUUGCACUCCACUCCCGAACUCCUCUUUGGGCUUCUCACCCCUUCCACUACUAACAGCCUUCCCCUUCAAUACCCUACUACCUCCAUCAUCCUUUUUCUUCAAACAGCAGCACAAAAUAAUUAGAGCAACAAGAAACAACACUGCAAACCCUCCCACUGCAAUGGCAAUGAUAGCUCCCAUUGUCAGUUUUGUUUUUGAACCCUGCUUAUGGAUUGCUGGUGGGGGAGGGAAAGCUGGAGAGGGCGAAGGUGGGGGAACAAAGCAAGGAUUAAGAGGCAGUCCACAUAAUAGAGAGUUUCCAACGAAGGAUGAAUUGGGAAACUUUUGAAGGGAUAAUGGGAUGGAGCCAUUAAGGUGAUUGUAGCUUAAAUUCAAACGUCUGAGCCUAGUGUGGUUAAGAUCAGGUAUGGAUCCAGAAAGGGUGUUGUUCUGGAGGCUCAAAACACUGAGUUGUGUCAAAUUUGCUAUUGAUUGAGGAAUGUUACCCGAGAAAAAAUUAAAUGAAAGAUCCAGUACAUUGAGUUGUGAGGAAAAAGAGGUGGGAAUUGUGCCAGAAAAGUUAUUAUGUUGGAGGUAAAGGUAUUGGAGUGACGGAAGAGAGGUAAUGUCAGAAGGAAGAUUACCAUUGAGCAGAUUGGAUCGGAGGCUGAGAACCAUAAGGGCAUCCAGUUUACCAAUUGUGUUGGCUGGGAUAUGGCCAAUAAACCCCACUGCAGGGAGUCGGAGCCGAAUCACACGAGUGCCAUUUGAAUUGCAAGUAACACCCACCCAAGAGUUGCAAACCGAUGAAGUGGGGCUCCAGUUGAGUAACCGAUAAUGAGGUACAGCAGUAGAAAAGUUGAGAAGGGCCUGCUUAUCUGAAUUCAGGUCAGCAUUAGCUAGACGAAAAAGAGUGACCAGGACAAAGAAGAAAUGAAAAACUGAAGCCAGGAACAACUUCAUGGGUAGUUAAUUUGCACUGGGUAUGUGACAAUGUAACCUGAUUCAACACAAAGACAAUGAAACAAUCUAAGGCAGCCAGCAAAUAAUGCAGUAAACAGGAAAGUUGCAAGAAAAAACCAUAUGAAUAUAUACAUAAACUUGCAAGCUAAAUUGCAACAAACUACCACGAAAGCUUUAGUCUCAGUUGUAACGCAAGUAACAUUUCACAUGUAAAUUGUAAUAAUAACAGUAUAUCUAGUUUCUGACAACCUCUAGCAUUUGCAACCCUUUGUUUGUCAAAUGGAAAUCUUAAUUAUUUAUUGUUUAGAAGUUUGAAGUUGAAAAUUGAAAUGCCAAUGCAUUAUAACUUCAGUUCCUAUUCUCAACCCACUAGUAUGGACCAAUAACUCAUCCCAUUACCACAAGCCAGUAUCAGCAAAACAAACACUUAUACUUGAAAUUUUGAGAACAUAAAAACUGGAAGUAGUGAAUGUAGCUUUUAUUCUCAGUGGAAUAAAAGCUGAACCUAAUCCUGUAAGGAGCAGGUAAAAUUGCAAUUUGUGAAGUCCAAUUUUGCAACUGCAGCGGUCUCAUGUUUGCUGAUGAAGAAAUAGCAAUAAUGAUAAUGACAAUCUUGUUUAUUAAGCACCCAAAACAGGGCUAAAUGUUUUUCCUCUGGAAGUUAAUCUCGACUUUUCUUAUGAGAAAAGUUGAACUCAUUCUCUAAUCCCCCAAUCUUGUUAUUUACAUCCAACUUCUAAAGAAAAGUUAAGAACAAUUAGGAGGAAAAAAAGUAAUCACACACCAAAAGCAAGAGCAAAAGAAAUCACACAGCAAAUAAAGCAAACAAAAGUACAAUACUUUUUGAUAUCACAUUCCAUUACUGAAA